GAUGAACGCUAGCUACAGGCUUAGCACAUGCGAGUCGAGGGGUAACGAGAGGAAAGCUUGCUUUCCUUGUCGACGACCGGCGCACGGGUGAGUAACGCGUAUCCAACCUGCCCCCAACUAGGGAAUAACCUUGCGAAAGUAAGACUAAUACCCUAUAAUUUCCUCAGAUGCCAUCUGACGAGGAAUAAAGAUUUAUCGGUUGUGGAUGGGGAUGCGUCUGAUUAGCUUGUUGGCGGGGUAACGGCCCACCAAGGCAACGAUCAGUAGGGGUUCUGAGAGGAAGGUCCCCCACAUUGGAACUGAGACACGGUCCAAACUCCUACGGGAGGCAGCAGUGAGGAAUAUUGGUCAAUGGGCGGAAGCCUGAACCAGCCAAGUAGCGUGCAGGAUGACGGCCCUAUGGGUUAUAAACUGCUUUUAUACAGGAAUAAAGUUAGCCACGUGUGGUUAUUUGUAGGUACUGUAUGAAUAAGGACCGGCUAAUUCCGUGCCAGCAGCCGCGGUAAAAC
rnacentral:rRNA from 1 species